rnacentral:rRNA from 1 species
GACGAACGCUGGCGGCGUGCCUAAUACAUGCCAGUUGAGCGCUGAAGGUUGGUACUUGUACCGACUGGAUGAGCAGCGAACGGGUGAGUAACGCGUGGGGAAUCUGCCUUUGAGCGGGGGACAACAUUUGGAAACGAAUGCUAAUACCGCAUAAAAACUUUAAACACAAGUUUUAAGUUUGAAAGAUGCAAUUGCAUCACUCAAAGAUGAUCCCGCGUUGUAUUAGCUAGUUGGUGAGGUAAAGGCUCACCAAGGCGAUGAUACAUAGCCGACCUGAGAGGGUGAUCGGCCACAUUGGGACUGAGACACGGCCCAAACUCCUACGGGAGGCAGCAGUAGGGAAUCUUCGGCAAUGGACGAAAGUCUGACCGAGCAACGCCGCGUGAGUGAAGAAGGUUUUCGGAUCGUAAAACUCGGUUGGUAGAGAAGAACGUUGGUGAGAGUGGAAAGCUCAUCAAGUGACGGUAACUACCCAGAAAGGGACGGCUAACUACGUG